rnacentral:rRNA from 1 species
GAUGAACGCUGGCGGCGUGCUUAACACAUGCAAGUCGAACGGGAAACCUUUUAUUGCAGCUUCGGCAGAUUUAGCUGGUUUCUAGUGGCGGACGGGUGAGUAACGCGUGGGUAACCUGCCUUAUACAGGGGGAUAACAACCAGAAAUGGUUGCUAAUACCGCAUAAGCGCACAGGACCGCAUGGUCCGGUGUGAAAAACUCCGGUGGUAUAAGAUGGACCCGCGUUGGAUUAGCUAGUUGGCAGGGUAACGGCCUACCAAGGCGACGAUCCAUAGCCGGCCUGAGAGGGUGAACGGCCACAUUGGGACUGAGACACGGCCCAGACUCCUACGGGAGGCAGCAGUGGGGAAUAUUGCACAAUGGGGGAAACCCUGAUGCAGCGACGCCGCGUGAAGGAAGAAGUAUCUCGGUAUGUAAACUUCUAUCAGCAGGGAAGAUAGUGACGGUACCUGACUAAGAGCCCCGGCUAACUACGUG